rnacentral:lncRNA from 1 species
UUCUCUUCUUCGUCCUUACUCUCAACCAACUUAGCAUACGCCCCUUUCUUGGUCUCCAUUUUCUUCUUAACCUCUUCAUUCCACCACCAAUCCCCCCGAUGAUGCCUGGCCCGGCCCAUAGAAACACCCAACACCUCACUAGUAUUCUCCCUGAUGCACCUAGCCACCCUAUCCCACAUACUAUCCACGUCCCUCCUAC